UACGUAGGGCGCAAGCGUUGUCCGGAAUUAUUGGGCGUAAAGAGCUCGUAGGCGGUUUGUCGCGUCUGCCGUGAAAGUCCGGGGCUCAACUCCGGAUCUGCGGUGGGUACGGGCAGACUAGAGUGAUGUAGGGGAGACUGGAAUUCCUGGUGUAGCGGUGAAAUGCGUAGAUAUCAGGAGGAACACCGGUGGCGAAGGCGGGUCUCUGGGCCGUAACUGACGCUGAGGUGCGAAAGCGUGGGGAGCAAACAGG
rnacentral:rRNA from 1 species